UACGAAGGGGGCUAGCGUUGCUCGGAAUCACUGGGCGUAAAGGGUGCGUAGGCGGGUCUUUAAGUCAGGGGUGAAAUCCCGGGGCUCAACCCCGGAACUGCAUUGGAUACUGCCUUGCUUGAGUACUGGAGAGGGAACUGGAAUUUACGGUGUAGCAGUGAAAUGCGUAGAGAUCGUAAGGAAGGCCAGUGGCGAAGGCGAGUUCCUGGACAGUUACUGACGCUGAGGCACGAAGGCCAGGGGAGCAAACGGG
rnacentral:rRNA from 1 species